ANUACGUAGGNNNCNAGCNNNNUNNGNAAUUAUNGGGCGUAAAGAGNUNGUAGGCGGUUNNUCGCNUNUGCUGUGAANACCCGAGGCUCANNNCGGNCNUGCAGUGGGUACGGGCAGANUAGAGUGCGGUAGGGGAGACUGGAAUUCCUGGUGUAGCGGUGGAAUGCGCAGAUAUCAGGAGGAACACCGAUGGCGAAGGCAGGUCUCUGGGCCGCAACUGACGCUGAGGAGCGAAAGCAUGGGGAGCGAACAGGAUUAGAUACCCUGGUAGUCCAUGCCGUAAACGUUGGGCACUAGGUGUGGGGCUCAUUCCACGAGUUCCGUGCCGCAGCAAACGCAUUAAGUGCCCCGCCUGGGGAGUACGGCCGCAAGGCUAAAACUCAAAGGAAUUGACGGGGGCCCGCACAAGCGGCGGAGCAUGCGGAUUAAUUCGAUGCAACGCGAAGAACCUUACCAAGGCUUGACAUAUACCGAAAACUCAUGGAGACAUGGGGUCCGCAAGGGCGGUAUACAGGUGGUGCAUGGUUGUCGUCAGCUCGUGUCGUGAGAUGUUGGGUUAAGUCCCGCAACGAGCGCAACCCUCGUCCUAUGUUGCCAGCACGUCAUGGUGGGGACUCAUAGGAGACUGCCGGGGUCAACUCGGAGGAAGGUGGGGAUGACGUCAAAUCAUCAUGCCCCUUAUGUCUUGGGCUUCACGCAUGCUACAAUGGCCGGUACAAAGGGCUGCGAUACCGCGAGGUGGAGCGAAUCCCAAAAAGCCGGUCUCAGUUCGGAUUGGGGUCUGCAACUCGACCCCAUGAAGUCGGAGUCGCUAGUAAUCGCAGAUCAG
rnacentral:rRNA from 1 species